ensembl:piRNA 21ur-1846 ncRNA
UUCAAUUGUUUAAUUCAGGCU